AAAAAUAAAAGCCUGCCAGGAGUCCUGGCAGGCUUUUAUUCGGACGCCUCUUUCGAGACGUCCUAUCAUGGGAGAGGAGAAACCGGACGAAGAGCUUAUGGGGAAACGUAAGUCUUCUCCGCGG
rfam:Paenibacillus sp. TCA20 DNA, contig: PspTCA2nb01.